GACGGGGGGGGCAAGCGUUGUUCGGAAUUACUGGGCGUAAAGGGCUCGUAGGUGGCCAACUAAGUCAGACGUGAAAUCCCUCAGCUUAACUGGGGAACUGCGUCUGAUACUGGAUGGCUUGAGUUUGGGAGAGGGAUGCGGAAUUCCAGGUGUAGCGGUGAAAUGCGUAGAUAUCUGGAGGAACACCGGUGGUGAAGGCGGCAUCCUGGACCAACACUGACACUGAUGAGCGAAAGCCAGGGGAGCAAACGGG
rnacentral:rRNA from 1 species